AUGUCUCCCCAGGGCAUCCGAGAGGAAGGAGCUUCCUUUCUCCUCAGCGCUGCAGGAUCCACAGAGGAAGGAGAGCCCUGGCCACCAGGACGGAGCCAUAUGAGAGGAGAGGACCCGGUGUCCUACACAGGUGGGGAACUGCAGCUGUGGGUAGAGAAGACAGGACUCAGGACAAUCUCCAGCAAGGCCUGCUUCCCUCUCCUCCUGAUCCUCCUCACUCACUGUACAGGGUCCCAGGCCCAGUCUGUGCUGACUCAGCCACCCUCAGUGUCUGGGGGUCCCGGGCAGAGGGUCACCAUCUCGUGUUCUGGAAGCGGCUCCAACAUUGGAAGUUAUUAUGUACACUGGUACCAGCAGUUCCCAGGAACAGCUCCCAAACUCCUCAUCUGUGAUAAUAAUCAGCGGCCCUCAGGGGUCCCCGACCGAUUCUCUGGCUCCAAGUCUGGCACAUCAGCCUCCCUGGCCAUCAGUGGUCUCCGGUCCGAGGAUGAGGCUGAUUAUUACUGUGCAGCAUGGGAUAGCAGCCUGAACGGUCCCACAGUGCUCCAGGCCCAGGAGGAAGUAAGAAAAGAACCUCCUUCCUCCUCUGCCAGGAGGGUGAGCCCCCGGCAGGUGCUGCUUAGGCCUGGCCUGUGGCCUCUGCUGCUGUAGCUUCCCCCAUCGA